CCCUCCGGUGCCUACUGAGCUGAUAUCAGUUCUCAUUUACACACUGGCUCAGUUCAGCAGGAACAGGAGU
rnacentral:pre_miRNA from 2 species